AAGAAAUCUAUGGGCUUUAAUACACUCAAAGCUCAACAAGCUAGAAACGUCCGUGAUGGCUGGGACACCAGACAGUCGGCGCUCGACUGCGCGCAGAUCGGAAGACGCUUACAAGAACCAGCUGGUUGAUAAAG